GAUGAAUAACGUUAAUCGCCUGCGCUCCGCUGUACCUGUGCCGGGGGAGCGGAGCGGGGCGGGGGGGGAAGGAGGAAGGGAAGCGUGUACGGUAGUCUAGCCGGCGGCGGGGCUGAGGCCGGCAGUGCUGUGAGGGGUCCCAGCCUGGGUGCGGUUAGCGGCCUUUGGUGGCCGUUGCUGCCCGUUACAGCCGGCGGUGGGUGCGGGCCUGGGCCCGGGCCCGAGCGGUCCUCCCGCCGCCGCCGCCCCUGCCCGCUGUCUUCUCCUUGGGUGCUGGCGCGGGCAGAGGUGGCCCUGCUGCCUCCUCCGCGGCACCUUCGCGGGGGGCUGCGGGCGGCGGCCCUGGGGGGGGGGGGUUGGCGUUGCCGCAGGGCCCGGCCUGGAGCUGGAGGCAGGGCGAGCUCGUGGGUGGUGGGGUUACUUGCUUGUAACGUUUAUCGCGCAGGCCUUGUCCGCUUAGCCCUGUCGCUGGCCUGCGCUUGGAAGUCUGUGCUUUGGUACAGGUGUGGUGGGAGAACGAACAAUGGUUCGUCAGGUGCAUUUUUUUGUAUAUAGCUGCUUUCACCUCCAUCGUUAAUGAAGUACGCAGGCCUUAAUCAGUGUAAACACAAGUUCAGCAGUUCUAUAGGGUCUUCAGGUAGCAGCCAUCAAUAAAAGCUGUGACCAAUGCCACAGGGGAGAAUUGAGUAUUUAUAAGCUUGAAUCUCAAAAGUCAGCAUCGUAGUUAAUAUGCUGCUUAGAGUUUUGAGGAGAGAAUGCCUUAAGUCCAAUGCCACUUGUGUAAACACACCUGUCAGGGCAAUGAGAAGCAAUUGCACUAAGUGAUCCUGGGAAAUAACUGGGUUCACCAGUCAGCACGUGUGGGGGUCACAGCCAGCUCAGCACCACCGUCUCAGCCCGACGGAGGGUCUAACCUCGGCUCCAGGAACAAACCACACAGGGAAGGCAGCUGGCACUACUCUGCUGAGGAUGGUGGAGGAACUUAAAACACAGGUCCACUGGAAACCAGGCCACGUUGGUUUCAUCAUCUAAAACGGGUCACUUGCUAGCUUCCAAUAGCCAACACUGAGCAGUAGUUUCUCAACACAGCUUCUGGAAGAACUCUCUUGAAAACCACACAUUUCCUCUGAAAUGGCAUCAACAAAAUUUAUUUAAAACUAGUUGUUCUCUGGACCUCCCCAAUUUUGCUGUCUUGCAAAGGGCAAAAAAUUUUGGCAUGUCCCAGUGGCAGCAGCCGUAUUGAAGAGCUGACAUCGGUGCCUACCCCGUAAAAGAUUCUCCAAUCUAGAUUAGCUCUGUGACGUGCGACAGGACAUGCACUGUCAUCUAGUCUUGGUUCACACUGGGUAGUAUUUCUCAUCCCCCGGGUUUACCUCAUCUUGUUUCCAGGUGAUCAGCCAGCAGGACGGGUACUGUGUCAGGAGGAAGGAAUGGAAAUCUAUCCACAGGCUGUGGCUCUAGCUUGACUUCUCACGCUAGGGCUCUUUUGUAAAUAAAAUAUUGAUGCCCAGGCCCAUGAAGCUUUAUGUCAUCAAGGCAGUGGACAACGCUAUUACAUGCUCAAUAAAAGUACAUCAUGGAACUCAGUAGAGACGAUUGAUCUGCAGCUUGAAACAGAGAAGCUGGUGUUAAAUAAAAUUAGGUUGUCAAUGGCUCUUCUGAAAGAUUUCUUUGUGUUGAGACAGUACCAAUUGGAGGCAGCAUAGACCAGUUUUUAAUGCAGUAUGUGGAAGGAAAAUUAGGAUAGAGGAGUAGCUAUUUUUCUCACCUACUCAAAAGAAUAUUUGUAAAGAGUAUUUCUAGAGAGUUGAAGCCAGUGCUGUACAGAACCUACAGUUCCAGUAGAGACACAGCAUUUAUUGAUGCCUGAUUUUUGUCCAAGUAUCUAAAUCAUGACAAGGUAAAUUAUUUUUAUACACUUGGAGUAAAAGGCAAUAAUGCAAUACAUUCCUCUCCACCUCACAAACCUGUUUAGCAGUAGGGACGAGGCCUCGGAAAUACCUGCUGCAUUGAUGCUUAGUACAUAAAGAGGAGUGAGGGCUUAAGUUAUUAGUUUAGUCCAGGCUUAAUGUAAACAAUGCAUAGAUUCUACACAGCAGUUUGUUAUAGUGGCCUGAUUCUGGUUAUAGUACUUAUGUUUUGUCAGUCCAAAGCUUGUCUAGGUGAGAAGAUGCCCAUUGUUUCAAACAGGAUUGUGGUUUGGUCACAUCUAAUUGGCUUGAUGUGUCCUAGGACUGCUUGUUAAAAUAUCUACUAACAGAAUUGAUUAACAGCAUGAUUUAAAAAAUAAGUAAAUCUGGGUUUCACAGGAGAAAAUACUUAUAAACAUAUUUUUCAAAAAGGAAAAAGAAAAAAAUAAAUUGCAAUACUGCAUUUUCUGCAUUGUAAAAGCAAUAGUUGUAAUUUUAGAUAUGGCAUAAUGUUUGUUUAUUGUACGAAUUGAUCUGUGCAGCCAUAUUCUUGUAUAAAACUCCAAUGAUGUCAAUAUAUUCUUGUAUAAAACUGCAACAACUU